rnacentral:lncRNA from 1 species
GUCAUUAUACACAGAACCUGUACAACAGCGCUGUGCUCUCUGGAACAAAGAGCUUAUAAGGUGAUCCUUCAGCAUAUUUGUGAAUCUGCAUCUUUAGACCUGACUUCUCCCCUGAGUUCUGGACUUGGGUACCAGCAGACUUCUCAACAUCUCUACUUGCACAUAUAACAAAAAUCCUCAUCUAAAUUGAC